rnacentral:rRNA from 1 species
UACGAAGGGGGCUAGCGUUGCUCGGAAUCACUGGGUUUAAAGGGUGCGUAGGCGGCUUUAUAAGUCAUUGGUGAAAGCUCGCAGCUUAACUGCGAAACUGCCAUUGAAACUGUAAAGCUUGAAUGUGGUUGAAGUGGGCGGAAUACAACAUGUAGCGGUGAAAUGCUUAGAUAUGUUUUAGAACACCGAUUGCGAAGGCAGCUCACUAAGCCAAUAUUGACGCUGAGGCACGAAAGCGUGGGUAGCAAACAGG